rnacentral:lncRNA from 1 species
AUAAGGUCCUUUUCCUAACAACAUAUCUAGAUUUCUCUGAGGAUAACCGGCUGCUGCAAAUCGCCUAGCCGUCUCCAUGCAAAAUUCCUCAUUGGCAACCUUCCAUAACAAAUAUUGCCCUCUAUUUAGCACAGCUUUAUACAUACUAGUCCAAUCUGCUGGCGUCAUGUCCAAGUUGGUAAUGGAUUCGACCAUGCUUACAGUGAAGGGUGCUUGGGGACCAUAGGUUGUUACAGCCUCCUUUAACUGCUUCACUGUUUUGAAAUCUAAAGCACGGUGAAUUCGCUGCCCUCCUGCCUGCUCAAGUACAGGGCAUGCUAAUCUUUGAGGUCCUGUCUCAGGAUCCCAUCUAUCAACUACGGGGGUUGGGGGCCCCCCAGCAUAUGUUGUCUCUAUAGGUGGAGCUGUUGGUUGGACACUUACGCCCUCUGGUGAUAGAAAGGUGUUAGUAGCAGCCUCCCGUUAUAACUUUUUUCCCUGAUAACCCUUCCUCCUUUAAAUUUUCUUCCUCUGUUUGACUAGCUCAAGAGACCUUCUCUUUUACUUGAUCUAAAAUGUCUUCCUCCAUAGUCUGAACCUCUAACAAUUUACUUAACACUCUUUCGGUUUGUUUUGUACUAAUUUCUAAUCUACUAUAAAGAUAAUGCAACCCAAGAAGAUAACACAAAACAACUCCGAAACAGAAUGAAACAAAAACAGAACAAAAAAUCAUUGUAUCAAUUUUCCUAUUUUCUUGAAAUGUAUUUUCGUGGUCUAUCUCUAUCUCUUCCUCAGGGCCGAACAACUUCAAACCUUGAGCCAACCAUUUUUCCCAGUUUGCCUGAGAAAGUUCUAGGGACAGGCAGCUUGAAAGAAAAACAAAACAAAUCAAAACAAGAACACAUUGUUUUUUGAAAUGGUCACCCAUUCUUUCGCUCUCCUUCAGGGGCAAGCAAUUUCACUUACCCCCAAGCUUCAGGCGUUCCCCGUACGGGCCACCAAAUGCUGCAGUCUGGCUGGGCACAAAUCACCGAGCCACCACAAAGCACUUGUAUGUUCAAACAGGAAACUUUAUUGCCUGAGCUCUAACAGCACUCCACGCACUCUCCCCGGGAACUCUCCCGAACGCCACCCACACGGCCCCUUUCUGGCACACCACACUAACCGGAACUCCCUCCACCGGAACUUCACCAACCAACUCGAACUCCCCAGGAAAUCUCUGGAGAACUCCAAAGUAGUGGGUGCCCAAGGCUGAAAGCAGGGGUCUAUAUACAAUUGAAUCAAUCCAGCAUCAUCUUAAUGGCUCGCCUCUCAACCAUUACUUCUGGAAAAAUGCCAGGCGUCAUCCCGACUCGGCUGUGGCCCUCAACAGUGAGGACCCAUAGCAACCCCCUAGCAACCAGCAAUCAGCAUGAGACAGGGAAAAUAACUGGGAUGCCAGAUAACCCUCCCAGUAGUUUAUGGUGGUUGAUAACAUGUUGGGAAACCAUGUAGUUCAGCAUGUAUACCCCUCGUGGUUUAAACCAAUCAAUUCAAACGAAUCCCCCUCUUUUUUCUUUUUUUUAAGAGACAGAGAGAGAAUUUUAUUUAAAUAUUUAUUUUUCGGUUUUCGGUGGACACAACAUCUUUAUUUUAUUUUUAUGUGGUGCUGAGGAUCGAACCCAGCGCCCCGCGCAUGCCAGGCAAGCGCGUUACCACUUGAGCCACAUCCCCAGCCCACGAAUCCCCCUCUUGUACUAACCAAUCACCCCUACCCAACUUGUUCCUGCCAGUGAAUGUGCUAAUCAAUGUUAAGAAUUGUUGUUUGAUUUUCCUGAGGUGUGUGAUGAUUUGCUAGGAGAUACUAUGAUGUAUGUGAAGUCCCUGCCUUCACCAAAGAGUGUAUAAAACUGCUGCAAACCCUG